CUCGUAGGCGGUUUGUCGCGUCGGGAGUGAAAACCUCGGGCUUAACUCGGGGCUUGCUUUCGAUACGGGCAGACUGGAGGUAUGCAGGGGAGAACGGAAUUCCUGGUGUAGCGGUGAAAUGCGCAGAUAUCAGGAGGAACACCGGUGGCGAAGGCGGUUCUCAGGGCAUGACCUGACGCUGAGGAGCGAAAGUGUGGGGAGCGAACA
rnacentral:rRNA from 1 species